UUUCAGGAAAUGCAACAGGUGGAACAACCCGGACCAGGACCAGGACCAGGACCAGGAACUGAGGACCAGAGGAGGAGGUUCUGCACACCAGGGGCACCUACCACAGGUUCAUCAUGGAUGACCCCUCCCUCUCUGACUCUAAUGUAAAGGUGGCUGUACGAGUACGACCAAUGAACAGGAGAGAAAAGGAGCUGAACUCCAGGUGUGUGGUGCAGAUGGAAGGGAACCAGACAGUCCUCCAUCCAGCUGUGGUCAACGUCAACAAAGGAGAUCCAAGGUAUGGAACCACAGAACCAUU